AUGCUUACCUGGUAAGGGAAAUGCUAUCAUCAUGAAGGUGACCUUCCUAAAACUGAGGUUUAUCCUUUGUCUUUUGGAUAUGCUGACAUUGCAGUUUUUCCAGGUGUAGGCAACAGACUGCAUGGUUUGUGGUGGGGAUUACUACAUUUAUACUUCCCUG
ensembl:snRNA U1 U1 spliceosomal RNA